rnacentral:rRNA from 1 species
GACGAACGCUGGCGGCGUGCCUAAUACAUGCAAGUCGAGCGAAGUUUUUCUGGUGCUUGCACUAGAAAAACUUAGCGGCGAACGGGUGAGUAACACGUAAAGAACCUGCCUCAUAGACUGGGACAACUAUUGGAAACGAUAGCUAAUACCGGAUAACAGUAUUUCUCGCAUGAGAGAUAUUUAAAAGUUGGUUAUGCUAACACUAUGAGAUGGCUUUGCGGUGUAUUAGCUAGUUGGUGGGGUAAAGGCCCACCAAGGCGACGAUGCAUAGCCGACCUGAGAGGGUGAUCGGCCACACUGGGACUGAGACACGGCCCAGACUCCUACGGGAGGCAGCAGUAGGGAAUCUUCCGCAAUGGGCGAAAGCCUGACGGAGCAACGCCGCGUGAGUGAAGAAGGAUUUCGGUUCGUAAAGCUCUGUUGUUAGGGAAGAAUGGAUAUGUAGUAACUAUACAUGUAAGAGACGGUACCUAACCAGAAAGCCACGGCUAACUACGUG